rnacentral:rRNA from 1 species
GAUGAACGCUAGCGGCAGGCUUAAUACAUGCAAGGCGGAGGGGGCAGCAAUGUCACCGUCGUACGGGUGCGUAACGCGUAUGCAACCUACCUAUCACUGGGGGAUAGGCCCGGGGGAAACCCGGAUUAAUACCGCAUAAUACAGGGGGCCCACAUGGGUCUAUUUGUUAAAGAUUUAUCGGUGGUAGAUGGGCAUGCGUU